UUUCUUUUGUUUGUUAUUUUCUUUGAAUAAAAAGAUUGAGAUUUUUUGAAUAUUGUGAAGUGAAUUAUGGAAUGGAAAUGUGAUUGGUAUUAUUUGAGAAGAAGAAAGAUUGAAUGCUGAAAUCUGAUUGUAGUUCAACAAAGAAAAUGAGUCUGUAUUUGUGUGAGACUGUAAUGUGAAUGGCAGUUCUAUGUGAAGAAUUUCAGUGAUUGGAAUGAGGGUAAUUGUGUGUUGAAACCUGUAAGGGCACAAUAUUACAGUUGGAGAUUAUGAAGAUGAAUAUAUUGGUGGAAAUAGAAGUUAUUGAUAUGAUUGAAUUGUUAUAAGGAAGAAACCAAUAAGGUGAAAGAAGAGAUUAUAGUUUCUUUGUAUGUUCAGAUAUUGAAAAU
rnacentral:lncRNA from 1 species